ACGGGAGGCAGCAGUGGGGAAUAUUGCACAAUGGGCGAAAGCCUGAUGCAGCGACGCCGCGUGAGUGAUGAAGUAUUUCGGUAUGUAAAGCUCUAUCGGCAGGGAAGAUAAUGACGGUACCUGACUAAGAAGCACCGGCUAAAUACGUGCCAGCAGCCGCGGUAAUACGUAUGGUGCAAGCGUUAUCCGGAUUUACUGGGUGUAAAGGGAGCGCAGGCGGUACGGCAAGUCUGAUGUGAAAGCCCGGGGCUCAACCCCGGUACUGCAUUGGAAACUGUCGAACUAGAGUGUCGGAGGGGUAAGUGGAAUUCCUAGUGUAGCGGUGAAAUGCGUAGAUAUUAGGAGGAACACCAGUGGCGAAGGCGAUCUACUGGACGAUAACUGACGCUGAGGCGCGAAAGCGUGGGGAUCAAACAGGAUUAGAUACCCUGGUA
rnacentral:rRNA from 1 species